AGGAGGAAUUCAUUUUCACUCUCACACAGCACUCUCACUCUCACACAGCACUCUCCUCCGUUGAACCCGUCCUCAUCCUCAUCGGCGAACCCAUCCUCAUCGACGGCGAAUUCCUUAGAACCUAAGAUGUCUUCUGCAGCCAAAGCUUUCGACUGAUGCUCUUUACAAAUUACAGUCGACACUAAGGCGAACAAUUUGUGGGAGAUGUAUGUGGUGCCAAAUUAUUUGCCAACUUCAAUGGCUCAACGGCAUUCUGCUCGACCAACAUUCCAGUCACUACUACAAGGUUCAUGUGGAUAUGACAUUAGGUUUCGAUAUUCUCAAGAAUCAACUACUCCAAUGUGUAGUGUGGCUAUGGACAACCAUCAACAGAACCAAACUAAUGCUGAAAUUGGGUUGCAACGUGAAGUCAUGGCCUCUGAAAUUGUGAAGCAAACUGCUGCUGGAAAGUGAUGUUAAAGUACCAAUGUGUCAAUUUUUAAGGACCAAUGUAUUAAUUUAGAUGUUAAAGUUGUACUGGUUGAUGUUCAUUUACAGUUGAUUUUAAUUUAUAUGUUAAACCCAAGUGAACUGGUUAUUGUUAAUGUUCAUUUAGCUUGGUUGAUGUU